GACAGAGGGUGCAAACGUUUGUUCGGAAUUACUGGGCGUAAAGCGCGUGUAGGCGGCCCUGCAAGUCGGAUGUGAAAUCCCACGGCUCAACCGUGGAAGUGCAUUCGAAACUGCAGGGCUAGAGUCCUGGAGAGGAAGGUGGAAUGCUUGGUGUAGAGGUGAAAUUCGUAGAUAUCAAGCGGAACACCGGUGGCGAAGGCGGCCUUCUGGACAGUGACUGACGCUGAGACGCGAAAAGCGUGGGGGAGCAAACAGGG
rnacentral:rRNA from 1 species